AUGGGCGCAGUAGCAGACAGUCAACAUCCUUGGGCAUUUGCAUUUGGCAUCCUAGGUAAUCUAAUUUCCUUCAUGGUUUACUUAGCCCCAGUGCCAACGUUUUACAGGAUUUACAGAAAGAAAUCGACUGAGGGUUUCCAAUCGGUGCCGUAUCUGGUAGCACUGUUUAGUGCCACGCUUUGGCUCUACUAUGCC